CAAAAAGCUAGAAUGUUGGCCAAAUCCUGGCAGAGCUGGUUGUUUCACUGCUUCCAUAGCACAGGACCAUCUGGAGGGUCCGACUGUGCAGAUCCAGGGAAGCCACUCUGCUUUGAUAAAUCACUGUGCUGAGGAAGAAGCAGCUCAAGUGUACCACACAACUUGUUUUCAGAUUCGAAUUGAGCAACGUACAGAUUUUUAUGUAUGGAGAAAUGAUGUGGCCGCAGAAUCUCACAGAGCAGUAAUAGUUUCCGGGAACAAUAUUAUCAGUUCUUUCAAAGGGAGUGGCCUCUCAUAGGAUGAAUAUAGUCCAGUGGGAAUGUUACAUAUCUAAAACUAUAUGGUUAAUAUAAAUUAGAUAGAGAAAACAGUACUGGAUGUGAAUGGAUGUAUUGGUAGUACUUGGAGGGGUGGAUAUGAUGAAAUAAUAACCACCAACCAUAUGA